CUGGAAUGGGUAAUGACUUAAAUCUAUAUGGCCCCUGGAUUGGACUGCGGCCGAUCAGGCUGUUGGUGAGGUAAUGGCCCACCAAACCUGUAACCGGUACGGGCUCUGAAAGGAGGAGCCCGGAGAUGGGCACUGAGACAAGGGCCCAGGCCCUAUGGGGCGCAGCAGGCGCGAAACCUCUGCAAUAGGCGAAAGCCUGACAGGGUUACUCUGAGUGAUUUCCGUUAAGGAGAUCUUUUGGCACCUCUAAAAAUGGUGCAGAAUAAGGGGUGGGCAAGUCUGGUGUCAGCCGCCGCGGUAAUACCAGCACCCCGAGUGGUCGGGACGUUUAUUGGGCCUAAAGCAUCCGUAGCCGGUUCUGCAAGUCUUCCGUUAAAUCCACCUGCUUAACAGAUGGGCAGCGGAAGAUACUAUAGAGCUAGGAGGCGGGAGAGGCAAGCGGUACUCGAUGGGUAGGGGUAAAAUCCGUUGAUCCAUUGAAGACCACCAGUGGCGAAGGCGGCUUGCCAGAACGCGCUCGACGGUGAGGGAUGAAAGCUGGGGGAGCAAACCGGAUUAGAUACCCGGGUAGUCCCAGCUGUAAACGAUGCAGACUCGGUGAUGAAUUGGCUUUAUGCCAAUUCAGUGCCGCAGGGAAGCCGUUAAGUUUGCCGCCUGGGGAGUACGGUCGCAAGACUGAAACUUAAAGGAAUUGGCGGGGGAGCACCACAAGGGGUGAAGCCUGCGGUUCAAUUGGACUCAACGCCGGU
rnacentral:rRNA from 1 species